rnacentral:rRNA from 1 species
AACGAACGCUGGCGGCAGGCCUAACACAUGCAAGUCGAAACGCUCCGCAAGGGGAGUGGCGCACGGGUGAGUAAACACGUGGGAACCUACCUUCUGGUACGGAACAACCAAGGGAAACUUUGGCUAAGACCGUAUACGACCUCCGGGUGAAAGAUUGAUCGCCGGAAGAGGGGCCCGCGUCCGAUUAGGUAGUUGGUGAGGUAACGGCUCACCAAGCCUUCGAUCGGUAGCUGGU